CAAUAGCGUAUAUUAAAGUUGUUGCGGUUAAAAAGCUCGUAGUUGGAUUUCUGCUGAGAACGACCGGUCCGCCCUUUGGGUGUGUAUCUGGCUCUUUCUUGGCAUCUUCUUGGUGAACGUUGCUGCACUUGACUGUGUGGAGCGCUACCCAGGACUUUUACUUUGAGGAAAUUAGAGUGUUUCAAGCAGGCAUACGCCUUGAAUACAUUAGCAUGGAAUAAUAAGAUAGGACCUCGGCUCUAUUUUGUUGGUUUCUAGAGCUGAGGUAAUGAUUAAUAGGGAUAGUUGGGGGCAUUCGUAUUUAACUGUUAGAGGUGAAAUUCUUGGAUUUGUUAAAGACGGACUACUGCGAAAGCAUUUGCCAAGGAUGUUUUCAUUG
rnacentral:rRNA from 1 species